rnacentral:rRNA from 1 species
CUCAGUAUGAGUGUUCACAUCACGAAACUGCGAAUGGCUCAUUAAAACAGUUAUAGUUCACUUGAUAGUCAAUCGUUAUACGGAUAACUGCGGUAAUUCUGGAGCUAAUACGUGCACAAAGACCUGACUUCAAGGAAAGGUCGUGUUCAUUAGAUACAGAAACAAUCCCUUCGGGGUUUUUGGAUGAUUCAUAAUGAAGGAACGGAGCGUAUGACUUGUGUCGACGCUGUUUCAUUCAAGUUCCUGACCUAUCAGCUUCCGACGGUAGGGUAUUGGCCUACCGUGGCAUUGAUGGGUAACGGAGAAUUAGGGUUCGAUUCCGGAGAGGGAGCCUUAAAAACGGCUACCACAUCUAAGGAAGGCAGCAGGCGCGCAAAUUACCCAAUCCUGAUACAGGGAGGUAGUGACAAGAAAUAACACAGAGAGUGCUUAUUGCAUUUCUCUUUGGAAUGAGUAGAAUUUAAAUCUCUUUUCGACUAUCAAUUGGAGGGCAAGUCUGGUGCCAGCAGCCGCGGUAAUUCCAGCUCCAAUAGCGUAUAUUAAAGUUGUUGCGGUUAAAAAGCUCGUAGUUGGAUUUCUGUCGAGAACGCGCGGUCUACGCUUUGCGUGAGCAUCUGUGUCGGUCUUGGCACCCUCUAGAGGAUCGUUUCUGCGCUUGAUUGCGUGGAGCGGAACUCUAGACUUUUACUUUGAGGAAAUUAGAGUGUUCACGGCAGGCAAACGCCUU